rnacentral:rRNA from 1 species
GAUGAACGCUAGCGGCAGGCUUAAUACAUGCAAGUCGAGGGGCAGCAUGAUUGUAGCAAUACAAUUGAUGGCGACCGGCAAACGGGUGCGGAACACGUACACAACCUCCCAAUAAGUGGGGAAUAGCCCAGAGAAAUUUGGAUUAAUACCCCGUAACAUAACGAUGUGGCAUCACAUUGUUAUUAUAGAUUUUUCGCUUAUUGAUGGGUGUGCGGCUGAUUAGAUAGUUGGCGGGGUAACGGCCCACCAAGUCUACGAUCGGUAGCUGAUGUGAGAGCAUGAUCAGCCACACGGGCACUGAGACACAGGCCCGACUCCUACGUGAAGCAGCAGUAAGGAAUAUUGGACAAUGGACGCAAAUCUGAUCCAGCCAUGCCGCGUGAAGGAUUAAGGUCCUCUGGAUUGUAAACUUCUUUUAUAAAGGACGAAAAAAGGCUUUUCUAAGUCGUCUGACGGUACCUUAUGAAUAGGCACCGGCUAACUCCGUGCCAGCCGCCGCCGUAAAAC